rnacentral:rRNA from 1 species
GAUGAACGCUGGCGGCGUGCCUAAUACAUGCAAGUCGAGCGAACAGAUAAGGAGCUUGCUCCUUUGACGUUAGCGGCGGACGGGUGAGUAACACGUGGAUAACCUACCUAUAAGACUGGGAUAACUUCGGGAAACCGGAGCUAAUACCGGAUAACAUAUUGAACCGCAUGGUUCAAUAGUGAAAGGCGGCUUUGCUGUCACUUAUAGAUGGAUCCGCGCCGUAUUAGCUAGUUGGUAAGGUAACGGCUUACCAAGGCAACGAUACGUAGCCGACCUGAGAGGGUGAUCGGCCACACUGGAACUGAGACACGGUCCAGACUCCUACAGGAGGCAGCAGUAGGGAAUCUUCCGCAAUGGGCGAAAGCCUGACGGAGCAACGCCGCGUGAGUGAUGAAGGUCUUCGGAUCGUAAAACUCUGUUAUCAGGGAAGAACAAAUGUGUAAGUAACUGUGCACAUCUUGACGGUACCUGAUCAGAAAGCCACGGCUAACUACGUG